UACGAAGGGGGCUAGCGUUGUUCGGAAUUACUGGGCGUAAAGCGCACGUAGGCGGAUCGAUCAGUCAGGGGUGAAAUCCCAGGGCUCAACCCUGGAACUGCCUUUGAUACUGUCGAUCUGGAGUAUGGAAGAGGUGAGUGGAAUUCCGAGUGUAGAGGUGAAAUUCGUAGAUAUUCGCAAGAACACCAGUGGCGAAGGCGGCUCACUGGCCCGGUACUGACGCUGAGGUGCGAAAGCGUGGGAGCAAACAGG
rnacentral:rRNA from 1 species